AAAUAUAUAGAAAAUGAGCAGCCUCCUCAAUCAUUGAGUCACAACCAAAUCUCAGUCACAAGGGUUAGUACUGAUUCCACUAGGCUUGUUCUGUACGCUUCUGUCUACUUUUCACCAACUUUCCACCACCUUCUGAUAACUAGGGCUAUCUCUGACCCUAUGCUCAGGGAGCCCUCCCCAGUCAUGCCCUAUAAGGAGCAGGGGCAGGAGAUCUUCAGGCAGUCAGCUUUGGGAAAUUCCCAGGUAUGGUCACUAUAUAGACAUGUCAGGUAAAGGAUAACCACCUGGCCACAGCCUGCAAGUAUUGCUGAAUUAGGCUUUCAAUUUAGCCAGCGUCCCGGCCCUUGUUUACAAGCUAUCUCCCUGGCAAAAUAUAAAAAUGCAGAGUUAGCCCCUAGCAUAAUGAUUAACAUUCCAGCAAAUGUGUUUUUAAUUCAGCAAGGACAAUUGAGAAUUUAGUUUGUUAUGUCAGUAAGGAAAAAUGCUUCUUGGAAACUAAUGCAACAGAAAAAAAAACAGGGAAGUAUAUUCUUAACUUCCAAAGAGUUGUCAGAAUAACUGUGAUCAUUAGACAAAAAAUAUAGUGAGUUCUCAUCCCCUUAAGCCAAGACACAUUUUUCCAUGCAGCUGGAUGCGUUGUCAGACUUUGAAAAAAUAUGAAA